UUCCUUUUGUGAAGAAGGGUUUAUCUCUCCAUAAGGACCGGUUUAUGGCAUCACUGCCUUCUUCAAGGCAGGCGAGUGCAGACUUCACCAGACCAGUGUUCACUGCUGUGGCAUUUUACUUAUGUGCAAAAAAACAUAAGCUGAAGAUUGACAAGGAUAGGUUGAUUGAGGUUUGCGGAACCUCUGAAUCCGAGUUUUCUUGUAUAAGUAAC